rnacentral:Y_RNA from 1 species
GGCUGGUCCCAGUGCAAGGGUGUUUGUUUACCACUAAUUGAUCACAACCAGUUACAGAUUCCUUUGUUCCUUCUCCACUCCCACUGCUUCACUUGACUAGCCUAAA